rnacentral:rRNA from 1 species
UACGUAGGGUGCGAGCGUUAAUCGGAAUUACUGGGCGUAAAGUGUGCGUAGACGGUAGCGUAAGUCGGGUGUGAAAGCCCCGGGCUCAACCUGGGAAUUGCAUUCGAGACUGCUCUGCUAGGGUGCGGAAGAGGGGAGCGGAAUUUCCGGUGUAGCGGUGAAAUGCGUAGAUAUCGGAAGGAACACCAGUGGCGAAAGCGGCUCCCUGGUCCAGCACCGACGUUCAGGCACGAAAGCGUGGGGAGCAAACAGG